CCUACGGGAGGCAGCAGUGGGGAAUAUUGCGCAAUGGGCGAAAGCCUGACGCAGCGACGCCGCGUGAGGGAUGAAGGUCUUCGGAUCGUAAACCUCUGUCAGCAGGGAAGAACGGUCACUGUGCUAAUCAGCAGUGAAUUGACGGUACCUGCAAAGGAAGCACCGGCUAACUCCGUGCCAGCAGCCGCGGUAAUACGGCGGGUGCGAGCGUUAAUCGGAUUUAUUGGGCGGAAAGCGCUCGUAGGCGGUAUGUAACGUCAAGGGGGAAAUCCCCGGGCUACACGUGGGAACUGCCUUUGAAACUGGCAAACUGGAGUGUGUGAGAGGAGAGUGGAAUUCCAGGUGUAGGAGUGAAAUCCGUAGAUAUCUGGAGGAACAUCAGUGGCGAAGGCAGCAUGCCGGCUCCACACUGACGCUGAGGCACGAAAGCGUGGGUAUCGAACAGGAUUAGAUACCCGGGUAGUC
rnacentral:rRNA from 1 species